GGGAGGGAGGAGGGAAGAAACAACAAAGGAAGCCAGCCUUUGCUGCCCAGUCCCGCGUCUUGCACCGCGGAGGGUGCUCGGAGACCGGGACGGGAGACGGACUUUUGGUUCGGAUUCAGCGUUCGGUGCGACGCGUGCCUUUUGGCAAGUCAUUUCCCGCUCUGGGCUUUGCUUUUCCAUUCCGAGCCGGGCCAGGAGGACGUGAUCUCUCAACUGCCAUCUAGGCCGACGCAUCUAGAGCUGCAGAACCUUGCAGACAGACCAACGCCUGUCCCUGCACCGACCGGAUGUGCAGGGGCCUUUUCCACGAGAAUCUUCCACUGUAAUAUCUCGCUCAGUUACCACGGGACCCUGCAGAACACCGAGGGCCACUUAACGUGCAGAGCUGGCUUGGCCGUGAUGGGUUUCUUAUCACUCAGACUUCUCUACGGACCCGACGGAUUUUCAACAGAGGGUGCCCAUCCUGGAGCUGGCUGCUUUUGUAGUCUGGGCGACACGGGCGCUGGACUCAGCUGCCCGCUCAGACACAUCUCCACUCUUGUCUGCCACUUCUGAGUCUCCGAGACUGCUCUUUGGGCAACACCUGCGGAAUGUGUCGCCAAGGUGAUCCCUGCACCAGCUGGGGACUGGGCUAGGUGGUCUCUGAGAUCACCCCACAUCUUGAGAUCGGGAGACCUCAACCUUUUCCACAGUCGGAAGAGAGAGGCAGAAGCUCGCUCCUAGGAAACCGUGACCUUCAGACUAUUAAAAAUACGUACGCGGUUAGAUCUUAUUUCCUUUUAGGUUUUUGUAGCACGAGGUUACGUGGCCCCGAGUUGGGAGGCCUCAGGAAACAGAAAAGCAGGCCACAAGAAAAGGAGAAAAGAAGGGAAAAGGGAAGGAAGGGAGGAAGGUCGGGGCGGGGGGGGGGGCGGGAAGCAAGGAAGAAAGGAGGCAGAAACAUGAACCCCUUGUAGAGGAGACGGGGAGGCUGGAGUGAGAAGGAAAGGGGCGAUGGGGAGGCGGGGGAAGAGAAAAGAAUAAACGAGGGGGAAAGAUAAGGCCA
rnacentral:lncRNA from 1 species